rnacentral:rRNA from 1 species
UAACACAUGCAAGUCGAGCGGAAACGAGUUAACUGAACCUUCGGGGGACGUUAACGGCGUCGAGCGGCGGACGGGUGAGUAAUGCCUAGGAAAUUGCCCUGGAUGUGGGGGAUAACCAUUGGAAACGAUGGCUAAUACCGCAUGAUGCCUACGGGCCAAAGAGGGGGACCUUCGGGCCUCUCGCGUCAGGAUAUGCCUAGGUGGGAUUAGCUAGUUGGUGAGGUAAGGGCUCACCAAGGCGACGAUCCCUAGCUGGUCUGAGAGGAUGAUCAGCCACACUGGAACUGAGACACGGUCCAGACUCCUACGGGAGGCAGCAGUGGGGAAUAUUGCACAAUGGGCGCAAGCCUGAUGCAGCCAUGCCGCGUGUGUGAAGAAGGCCUUCGGGUUGUAAAGCACUUUCAGUCGUGAGGAAGGUUUAUGCGUUAAUAGCGUUUACAUUUGACGUUAGCGACAGAAGAAGCACCGGC